CCAACAGGUAGAACAACCUGAAGUCGACACAGUUAUGAAUGAAGACAUCAGUCGCCGAACCAUGCUUGGAAACAUCUGUCAAGCUAAAAAUACGCAGCGCGGUUAAGUAAAAAUACUUCAAGUUAAUCAAUGAACAAUAAUGUCAAUUGAAAAUUAUCGCUAAUCGGUCAAGACUCUAAGUCAUCAUAUCGCAAAAUUAAUGUUAAACAAAUCAAAAUCCAAGGCAAAAUAUUCCAUUCUUAUCAUGUCCAUAAUUCCUCAUUGUAGUAUAAUCAGAUAUUGUAGUUCUAAAGACAUAAUAAUCAAACCCUCAACAAACAUACUCCACCAACCAUAACCUAAGCAAUAGCCACCCCAUCAAACGAAGAAUACAGAUGAAUGUUCUACGGAGAGAAGCAAAUACAACAGUACCUAUGAAGCACAUCUUCCAGAACUUAGCUGGAAUGCUGAUUGACACAGAAUGCAAUCAGUUCAAAUUUUAGUUCAAGUAUUAGCCCGAACAUAAGCUGCAAGCGCUAUGCAGUUUUGUGAGACACCAAGACACUCGUCGUAGCCGCAAAUUGCGGGAGGAUUUAUCGAGAGUGUAUUACUUAAGUUUUGAGUCUUCUUCCAAAGAACUACCAUCAUCAAGAAACCACACCCAAAAGCCACCAAACCAUAGCCCAAGACCAAAGAACCAUUCAACCACACCACAGAGAAAAAUCCGAACAGGAGAAGCAUAUACGUUAGCAGUAAGCAAAUUUUCCAGAGCAUAGCUGGAAGGCUGACAACGAGAUCAGCGAAGCUUAAGUUCAAGCAUUAGCACUAAGUUAAAUUGCAACAUUUUGCAAUUGUAAGAGAUAUCAAACACUCAUCGUAGCUGCAAAGAUCGCAGAGAAUAAUUUGUCGAGAGUGUAUUAGUUAAGAUAACAAGACUUCUCCUGUUAUAAGACCGAAACAUAACGCUGGUAAAAUUUUGUGAAUUUGUCAUAAAAAUUCACAAAAUUUUAAGAUAAAUUGUAGAUUGUGUUACAAUUAUUGACUGGGUCACAAAAAACCCAAAGUCAAAAAUCACAUAAAAUUUAGACGUACACGCCGACCGGUCUACCACAUAUCAAGUGACAUUUGACCAAACAGAAAAAGUGGGAAAAAAGCUUCACACGUUUUCCCGACGCGUCUUUCCAAAAGUUUGGAAAACGCUAAUUAAGAAAUUGUGGUCCGCAGCAAACAACCCGUCAACACUCCGAGAUUCGGGAAUUCCGGAUAGUGCCAGGGGAAAGGAACCCCUUUGCGUCCGAAUCGACCCAGCGAAGAUCCGACGAGAUCCAGCACGAAGAGGCCUUCUGAAAAGAGGGCUUUUUUGUGGUGUGGCAUUUUCCACACACACGUGGAAUCGUCGCCGCGUUGGAUCAUCGCUUGCAGGAGACUACCGGUGUUGGAUCGCUUCAAGGGUGCUUACUGCCGAAGAGAAGUCAAUUCCGGCCAGCACUUGAGGGAGCUGUUCACCUCGAAGUGAACUGUGGUGACCCUCAGUGCGCAGCG